rnacentral:rRNA from 1 species
AUUGAACGCUGGCGGCAUGCCUUACACAUGCAAGUCGAACGGCAGCACGGGAGCAAUCCUGGUGGCGAGUGGCGAACGGGUGAGUAAUAUAUCGGAACGUGCCCAGUCGUGGGGAUAACGUAGCGAAAGCUACGCUAAUACCGCAUACGAUCUAUGGAUGAAAGCGGGGGAUCGCAAGACCUCGCGCGAUUGGAGCGGCCGAUAUCAGAUUAGGUAGUUGGUGAGGUAAAGGCUCACCAAGCCGACGAUCUGUAGCUGGUCUGAGAGGACGACCAGCCACACUGGGACUGAGACACGGCCCAGACUCCUACGGGAGGCAGCAGUGGGGAAUAUUGGACAAUGAGCGAAAGACCUGAUCCAGCAAUGCCGCGUGAGUGAUGAAGGCCUAGGGUUGUAAAGACUCUUUUACCCGAGAUGAUAAUGACAGUAUCGGGAGAAUAAGCUCCGGCUAACUCCGUGCCAGCAGCCG